CCAGUGAUGGAAAAGAGCUCCAGAGUGGAGGGAAAUGAAGCUGUGGGGAGGAGCCCUGGAGCCCAAAGCGCUGUGGUGGCUCCCAGCAAGGCUGGAAGGGGCAGCAAUGCCCCCACAGAGGGCACAAACCAAGCCCUCAGGAACCUCCCCUUGCAAUGGCAGUCCUGUGAGGAACACAGACAUAUCAGGCUCCCCAGGGAGGCUGUGAAACACCAACCCCAAGGGAUCCAUUCUCCUCCCCCUGGACUUUCAUUAAGGAAAGAUGGCGCCAAGCCCAGCGCCUCAGGAAGCUGCAGCAGAGGAAACAGUGCAGCUCCUCAGAGACAGAAAGAGUCUGAGAAAGAAAACCUUGAGCAGCCUUCAAAGAGGAGGGCAAACCUUAAAAAACCUCACCCUUACAGCCCUGAAAGCGUUCGGGAAUUUAUGUAUCGGAAAAAGGCAGAGAGAAAGAGAAAACUCCUCAAAGAGAAAAAGGCUCUGGCACAGGCUGAGGAGAUGAAAAGGAAGAGGUUGCAAGAAUUGUACAGGAAACAAAAAGAAGCUAUUGGGAAGAAAUUGUGUCCUGAUGAGAUGCACAAACCCCUUGGGAAAAUGGGUUCUGCCAAAGGAAAUCCUCAGAGUGAAUUGGAUCAAAGGCAAAGCAACGGGGGAGAACUGGAAAGGAAUUUCAUGGCCUGGGUGGAUGAAACAUCCUCUCCUCUGUCACCAGAAGAUCACAGAGGCAGGAAUCAACUCCUAGAAACAGCUCAAUCACCUAAAAAAGGAGAAGCACCAGGUCCUGCAGCACCGCUGGAAUCUGAAUGCUGGUUUCUCAGUCCUCUGAAAUGUGAAGACUUGAGGGACUGCUCUCCCCCAGCUCUGCAUUCACCUCCUCUGAGCUUUUCUGUUCCUCAGAAAGAUGCAAAACCUCCCUCCAAGGACUCAUCUGUUGGGCUUUCUCCACAGAGAAGCAAACAGGAUCAAGUGAGGGCCAUUCACACUCUGUCCAGGGAACUUGCAGAAAAGAUUGACGUGGCAAGGAAGAGGCUGAGUGCAGCCAGCUGGGCUAAAGCCUCUGCUGACAAACAAUCCACAGGGACAGCUCUGGGCCUGCACCGUGGUCCUCCCUCUGCCCCAGCACCUGAGGCUUCCAGGGACAGGCAAGAGAGGACAAUGACUGCACAAAUGCCUCUGGACAGAGAUCCUGAAGGGCUUUGUGUGACACCCAGCAGGGAAUGCCAUGGGCUGGGCAGGACUGGCCUGCUGGGCACACAGGGGGAAAUGCCAGCUCCUCUGCCAGGUGGGAAUGCUCAGAGGGAGGAAUUGCCCUGGAUCACACCCCGUGCAGGACAGAGUCACCUCAGCUCUGCAGGAGAGCUGAGCAACA